GAAGAGGAGCUUCGUCUGUGGGCAUCUUACAGAGGCCAAACACUAACCAAAACUGUGCGAGGCAUGAUGUAUUACCGGAAGGCUUUGGAGCUCCAAGCCUUCCUUGAUAUGGCAAAGGAUGAA